AUGUACAUUCCUACAACAUAGCGUUAAUACAUUGGAUCCCAUUAGAACUCUGCAGUUAAGCGCGCUCGGGAUAAAGUAGUACUGGGAUGGGUGAUCUCCCAAGAAGUACUAGUAUUUUACAUG
rnacentral:rRNA from 1 species